UGAUGUAGAUGAAAAGAGGAACUGCUUGCAACAGUCCCUCUAGGUAAUAAGCCGUUUAAGACGGUUGCAGAAUUUUAAUGACAAAAAA
rnacentral:sRNA from 1 species